rnacentral:rRNA from 1 species
GAUGAACGCUAGCGAUAGGCUUAACACAUGCAAGUCGAGGGGCAGCAUGGUCUUAGCUUGCUAAGACUGAUGGCGACCGGCGCACGGGUGCGUAACGCGUAUGCAACUUGCCUCACAGAGGGGGAUAACCCGUCGAAAGACGGACUAAUACCGCGUACACUCCAUCUUGGGCAUCCAAGGUAGAGGAAAUGAAAUUCGCUGUGAGAUAGGCAUGCGUCCCAUUAGCUAGUUGGUGAGGUACGGCUCACCAAAGCCGCGAUGGGUAGGGGAACUGAGAGGUUGAACCCCCACGCUGGUACUGAGACACGGACCAGACUCCUACGGGAGGCAGCAGUGAGGAAUAUUGGUCAAUGGGCGAGAGCCUGAACCAGCCAAGUCGCGUGAAGGAUGACUGUCUUAUGGAUUGUAAACUUCUUUUAUACGGGAAUAACAAGAGUCACGUGUGACUCCCUGCAUGUACCGUAUGAAUAAGCAUCGGCUAACUCCGUGC